rnacentral:rRNA from 1 species
AAAAANCGAAAGGGUGUAGCUGGCCGUUUCGUUUGAGCGGCAUGUGCACGCCCUGAUCAUUAUCCAUCUCACACACCUGUGCACACACUGUAGGUCGGCUUUUGAUUGGAGUGGGGUCUUCAUCGACUCUGCUUUUUAGUUGGGGCCUUCCUAUGUUUUAUCACACACUACUUCAGUUAAAAGAAUGUCCUCUUGCGUCUAACGCAUUUAAAUACAACUUUCAGCAACGGAUCUCUUGGCUCUCGCAUCGAUGAAGAACGCAGCGAAAUGCGAUAAGUAAUGUGAAUUGCAGAAUUCAGUGAAUCAUCGAAUCUUUGAACGCACCUUGCGCUCCUUGGUAUUCCGAGGAGCAUGCCUGUUUGAGUGUCAUGGAAUUCUCAACUCUAUUUGCUUUUGUGAAUAGAGCUUGGACUUGGAGGUUUAUUGCCGGUACCUGUGAUCGGCUCCUCUUGAAUGCAUUAGCUCGAACCUUUUGUGGAUCAGCUUAUCGGUGUGAUAAAAUGUCUACGCCGUUACUGUGAAGCAUAUUAUUCGGCUUCCAAUCGUCCUUCACGGGACAAUAACUUUGACCUUUGACCUCAAAUCAGGUAGGAUUACCCGCUGAACUUAAGCAUAUCAAUAAGCCGGAGGAA